GUUAUUUUAAUUUUUUGUAAGGCUUAAUCCACAAGUAGAAAGUGCCACAGAAAAAUAGCCUUUAAAAAAAAAUAUUUUAUUUAUUUGAGAGAGAGCAUGCACACAUUUGAGCGAUGGCAGGAGUAGGGGUGAGGGGGUAGAGGGAGAGGGAGAAGCAGACUCCUUACCAAGCAGGAGCCCCAUGCAGGACUUGAUCCCAGUCCCAGGACUUGGGAAUUGUGACCUGACCCAAAGGCAGACGCUUAACCAACUGAGCCACCCCGGUGCCCCAGAAAAAGUGAUUUGAUUAUAUAUAAUUUUAACAAAGCUUUGAAGUGUAUUUUUGAGGUCUGGGUUAUUUUGCAACUAACCCUCCAGUUACGUGUAUUGGUUUUCACAGGCUCUAAGAUAUUCAUUCACUUAUGUCUGACCUUGCAUAAAUAGUUAUAUUAAUCCCCCCAUGAACUCUGAUUUCUUAACCUUUAAUCUUGUUUAUUUCUGACCUCUUAUUUGUUUAGAUUUCUUGCCAAAAGGAAUGAGUAAACAAAAGGAAUAUGACUUAUGGCUCUUACCCUCUAGCAAAGAUUUAAAGCUUCUGCUUAACCAUAAUCACUAUCACGAACAUGAAAUGACAAUUUAAGAAUGUAAACAUAUGGGAUCAUUAAUAAAGCUGACCCUUCCUCUUGGCAAGGGCAAUAACAUUCUCUUGUACAAACAGUUAGAUUUGGCAACGUGAUUAGAAAACAAGCCUAGUAAAACCAUGCCUAGAUAAUUUUGCUGAAGUACAGAAUGUCCACAGGGAUUUGCUAAUUGAAUUGUUACAGGCAUGGUUGAGCAAGUUAACUACUGUGGCUUCACGUGUUCAGGGAUUCACUGUGUCUCAUUAUGUCAGCCAAGACCGAUUGCCAGAAGAGAGGUGUGUGUCACUGUUUAAAACAGUUUGUCUCCCUGGAGGUGGGCUUAAUGUUGUUGUAGUGAUAAUUGAAGUUUACAGAGGAUGUUCUUCAGUGCAACCUGUGACUGUGAAUAUAAGCAGUAACUCAUGCAGGGGCACCUGGGUGGCCAGUUGGUUAAGCAGCUGCCUUCUGAUCAGGUAUGAUACAGGGGUCCUGGGAUCUAGCUCCACAUCAGGCUUCUUGCUCAGCAGGGAGUCUGCUUCUCCCUUUCCUUUGUGAUCUCUCUCACUCUCAUUCUCAAAUAAAUAAAUAAAAUAUUUUUUAAAAACA
rnacentral:lncRNA from 12 species